rnacentral:lncRNA from 1 species
UUUUUUUUUUUUUUUUUUUUGUAUAAUACCGUACGUUCAAGUUCUUGUAUGUUGGUUUGUUCAUGAAUUCAUGUAUAUGCUUGAUUUCAACAAUUUGUUUAAAGUGAAUAUGGUUCAACUCUCCACUCAAGCAAUAAUUUUCAAAAAAAAAAAACAUAUUAUAUUGUCUUCAUACACAUUGGACACAUCACUUCUUCUUGGGCCCUAUCAAUUGUCUGACUAAUUGAGUGACUGAAAAUUAGCAAGUGAUUUGUUAAUAUAUUGGCUAUUCAUAUUCAAUUACUAGGAUCUCCUACUGCAGCUAGGAAAGGAAGAGAUAAAAGAAACAAACCUCGAUUUGAGAAUUCCCAUUGAAGAAAGGAAAAGUGAUUCAAGAUCCGGAAGUCCAAGUGUUGAUCACAAGUUUGCAUAAUCAGAAGUAUCACUCAAGGAUCACAGGUAAUGAGUUUUUUACUUACUUAUUUUUGGUAAGUUAAUCUCUUUAUUGGUUAAUUGUCCUAAGUGAAAGAUUUCUAGUAAAAAUCUUAUGUCUAGGAUUUUCCAUAUCAGGUUCUUUAAAGUGCUCAUCUGCAGGAUCUUUAAUUAUUCUAGGUUAUUUGAUUUGGUCUUUUUCCAAAUCAGGUACAUUAGAAUUUUUAUAUGCAUAAAUCUUGCUUAUCUGAUUUUAUAUGUCUAUGUGCUUCAUCAUGGGCUUCAGCAUGAUCAGGAAAUUAAAUUGCACAUUUUAGAAUGACUUUGUUAUAGCAAUAAACUAGUGUAUCAAUUUUGGAAAGUGCAAAACUGAUUGCUUCCUAUCUAAAAACGAAAUUUGAUCCUGUCAUUGAAUGGCAUCAGUUAAGGGGGAGUAUUUUUCAUACUCUAUAAAUUGCUUCUGCUGCUUUUAGAAACUUAGGCUUUUUGUAUGAAUUGAAAUAGACUUUGUUAAACAUUGACUGGAAGUUCAUUACAUGUUGAUAUCCUUCAUACAAACUGACCUAUGUGAGUUUUCUAUAAACUAAGUUUCUCUUCUUACUUGCAGACUGAUUGCAUUUGAGAUUGCUGAAGCUGGUUUUGGAAAAAGUAAUAAACUGGAGGUGCUGUAGAUUCAAAGAGAAACUGAUUGUAUAUUGUUUCAUUGAAUCAAGAACUGAAAGUGUCUAAGUAUCAGUGUUGCUGCAUAAACUGAUUGUGUGUAAGAAUCAACUGUAGCAGGAUCUAGUUGUGAGAGAACUAGCAUAGAUGAGUGUGUGAGAUCUCAGUCUAGCAAUUCAGUUUCCUUUGUUAAGGUUACUUGAUCUGCAUUACUUGUGUGAGAAGUAAGGUGAAUGCUUAGUGUAUGAAGUGUGUAGUUGUGUGAGAAGUACACCUUGUAACACUUAUUUUGAAAGUAAAUGAAUCCUUUAGCUUGGUGCUUUUGUCCUCAUUGAGGUUUUGCACCAAGCCUUUGAAAUUAUUACUCUUUCUGUGAUUCAUCUGUCUUUUUAUCCGUUUCCAUAUCUUCAUGAUUUACCCGACUAUGUGUCCCCGUUCAAUUGGUCGACCAAUUUUGAAACGGUGCAUUGAUUAAUUUGGGUUUUUUUAGCCAUUAGUCACCCAAUCACUCUAUGGGUGCAAUUGCUCUAAAGCUACUACUGCUGCAGCAUAAUGUCACCACAAUAAUGUCUCACAUACUAGAGGGCCAAUAUCUCUUCAACUAGUAUGAAUGAAAAUCAAAUGAUUAGGUGGUCACCACCACCCUCAGACAGAGUCAAAAUAAAUUUUGAAAGAUCCGUUUGGAGCAGCUCAACAACAUGUGGUUUUGUAAUCAGAACAAACUUAGGCAAACCUCUUGUUGCUGCUGCUUUCAACGCCAGAAGCACCACAGUUUUAGUUGUUGAAGCCUUAGCUCUUCGUAAUAGCCACAUAUGGGCAAAAGAUAAAGGUUAUUCGAAAAUAGAUGUUGAGGGUGACUCAAAGCUAGUCAUUGAUGUUGUUAACCAAGUUUCUGCUCGUCCUUGGAGACUUCUCAGCCUACUCCAAGACAUUAAGUUGCUGGGAAGUUCCUUUGAGUUUAUUAGCUUCAAGCAGCAUGUGUUUAGAGAAGCUAAUUUUGUUGCUAAUGUUUUUGCCAAUUUGGGUCAGUGUAGACAAAUUGUGGUGCUUGGCUAGAUUGUAUAACGCUAUGUUCACACAUUCAUUUCAUUCAUCUCUUCCCUCUAGAUUCAGUUAUUUUCAUCUAUUUCCUUCUCAUAUUUUGUAUGGAUCGUAUGCGAAAUUAUUUUAGAGUGAGAGAUGAAAAUCGAAGAUGUAAAACAUCAUAAUAAUAUUCAGUUUAGAUCAUCAUAAUUGAGUGCAAAAUAUCAGGUGGAUGGAAGGUUAUCUUGCAUAUGUAAAACAACUUUGAUACUGGUCACAUGAGCUAUUGGACAUUUAGAAACGGAAACUGAAAAUUGUGGCAUUAGUGUUGUGGUGGAUGCCAACAUUUUUUUUUGUUACAAUCGCAAUCACAAAAGGAAAUAUCAAGCUGCACACUUCACUAAGGGAAUCAAUUAUUGAUGUUUUGAGAUUAAAAGGAGAUAACUAACAACAUUUCCAGUUUUAUAAAUGUUACAAGAUUCACAAGAAAAAAAGUAAGCACAACAUCAUUGUAUUAGUUAGAUUAGGCGGGCUGGGCCGACCCGUUUGCCACCUCUAGUAUUAGUGAUGUUUAUCAUUGUUUUACCGUUUGUUUGACUUUCUUUCUUUUAGAAGAAAUUAACUUUAUUGAUAACGAAGAAAAAUUACAGUAUAAUAAAAUGUCCGGUUGUGAUAGCUACACCACGACACAUUCCCAUAAAGAUCCACAGUUACAGGUCUAUUACCAACAACAACAUCCAUAAGCUAAAUGAGCCCAACCCCUAACACAUUUCUUGCUCAAAAAUAGCUACACAGUCAUGAGAGUAACGAUACAACAUCACCACCAACACCUAAACGAGUCAGUUCCCCUUCUUCAACAUCGUGUCCAAAUACCACCAUACCAUGUGCAAAGGCAAUCUAACCUCAUGUUGCCAACCAGACAACACCGGUAUUAAAACUGAUAGUCCCCAGGACUAACGCCACAGAAGUAGGACAUGCACUGACAUAACACUACAAUUAAACCCUCAGCCAACAGAGGAGGGACUUAGACCUAACCAAACACCUAACCAAAACCCUUAACAAAAAAACAGAAAACAACAAAGGACCAAACUAGCCCAACACUACAACACCGGCCCAAUCCCACCAACCCAGCACCAUUGAAGGUCCAAACCUGCCCCACCCGGCCAAAAAGAACAAUUGUAUCACUGCCUGCAUUUCACCACCAAUGUUGACGCAAGGCUUGUACCGUCGUUGGAGCCCCAUUAUGCUUUUUGACCGCCUUCGUGUCUUAUCGCAAAGCCAUAGACCAAUCCUAGAGCUAGACUCGCCGUCGUUCUGUGAGAACACAAACCCGUUGUCAGUUUGUUUAAGCAUAUAGCCACCGCCGAUCGCAACCCCGACACAAUACAUCGCUUUAAGACUUUGGGGAUCCCAAUCCACGCCGCUGCCAAAUCUUCAUUCCUUUUACGCUGAGUGAAGCCAAAGUUAAUUUGUUUCCUCUGUUAAGAAACUGAUUGGUAAACCCUACGACUUCCAAAAUACCAAUACUGCCUGUCCCGCUGCACCAACCCUACGCCGACGAGGGCGAAAGCCAACGUCGAUGCAAGGGCACUGCCGGACAAGCCAGACGUACCACCCUUAUUUCAAACCCUCACCAUAUUUUUACGAAGCAACCCUAACUCUUAAAGAUUGUAAAAACCAUUUGUUUGACUGAUAUCUCGAAAUGAACUAUUUCAACUUCAAGGAUGACAUCUUAAGACUUACAUUCCAUUUAUCCCUCCACAGAUGAAGCUCGUUUUAUGCUCCUGAUUCCCACUUGUUUCAUGCUCCUGAUUUACAAUGAAUAUAAGGGCAAGCAUAAUAUCACCUACAAUACUUCAUUUCUUAUCACAUGCAUUGCUAAGCUGCGCUUGUCAUUACUAUUGACAUACUAUUUCAGCCUAUCUUGAUAUCUAUGUAGACUAAUUUUAGAGACGUGCGGUUUAGGAAUCCCUUCUUUUAAUUAAUUUAUAGUUGAUCACAUUGGCUGAUCUAGGAUUACAACCUUGGUGGGGCUUGAACUUCUUAACAAAGAAACAUAAAAAUUAUAGUGGAUGAUCUCGACGAUGUGAGAGAAUAACGUGUAAGAUCAUCAUUCAAGAAGAGUGUACUCUUAGAAAUUUUGGGUUGUAUGUAUCCUUAGAGCAUGUCCACCCCUAAGCCAAAAGCCUGAUCUGGGCCUUCAGCCAGCUCAAAAGAAGACCCAGAAAAAAAAACCCAAGUCCACCCAUGAAAAAAAUGAUGACCCAGCCUUCAUUGGGUUAAGACCUGGGUCAGACCCUUGACCCAGGUCUGACCCAGGCAGAAGAAAAUGAAGGCCCGGGCCUUCCCUCUCCAGCUCAGCCCAAUCUGUGAUCCCCGCAUGACGCAACGCUGACGAAGGCCACGUGAAGCGCGCCAGGGGAGCUCGGGCACGCGAGAAGCAGGCGCGUCCGGCGCACGGGUGAAAGGCAGCGCGCGCCUUGUGCAUGUGCGACGCGGUUUUGUCGCGUAGCUGCUCGCUUGGGCCACGCGUCAGCGGCUGAGCUCGUCCCGAGGAAUUCAAAUGCAACGGUCCUUUAAUCUGGCCCAUUGGUUCAUUUCAAAAAAGCAAAUCGACGGCUCAUGUCAUUUGACCGUUGCAAACCCAACUGUUAAAAGAAAAAAAACCUGCCAACAGGUAAAAAAGUUGCCAAAGGUAAAAAAAAAAAUCCCAAAGGUAAAAAAGCUACCAACGGUUAGGAAAAAAAAUAUAAAAUAUAAAAGUGCUUAUACAAAUCCUAUAAAUACAUCACUCUCAUAUAAUUUUUUCACCCCACACAAAAAAUUGUGAUCCAUAGUUCUAUAUAUAUUUUCUUUCAUUCUCCUAUAGUUUUCAUCUUCCUUAUCGUUUCAAUUCAUGGCCGGUGGAUCUACUUCCGAUAGAAAACUUUGGGAAGCCGAUGAAGACCUCCAAUUGUGCAAGUCUUGGAGAUUUGUUAGUCACGAUGCGGAGAAGGGCACCGAUCAAAAGAAAGCGCAAUUAUGGGAUAAUAUUCUCAAGCAGCCAAUUUUCCGAAUGCCUACCCUCGAACAACAAGUGCAAUGAUAGGGAGGUGGAAAUCUCUAAAAAUAGAAUUGUUUCAAUGGCAUUGUGCGAUAAGGCAAGCUAAAGCUUGGGUAAAAAGCGGUUCAUGUCUUGUUGAUGACGUAUGAAUGUUAAACUUUUUUUUAUAUAUGUUUCAAUAAAUAUUUACUUAUCAAUAAAUUAUCUUGUAUGUCAUACAUCUUAUUAAUUGUAGUUUUAUUUAUUAAUUGGUAGUACAAAAGAACACAAAAAUAUGGAAGCAAGAGAUGACAAGGAUCAAAGGAAAGAAACAAAAGAGCGAGUUCAAGGCGCAAGAUUGCUACGCCGUCGUGGAAGGUUUUCAAAUGUUCCAAGACAUUCCUAGCAACAUGGAGAUGCAUGAGUCACCAUUAACGGGAGCCGAUUGUGAAAGGAUGGCUUCACAAUCAACUCAAAAUGAAGAAGUUGAUGAACCUUCUAUCGACUUGGCCCAAAAUAGUGAUGAGGUACCCCCGAAUCCAAAUGUGAGGCCUAUUGGAAGGAAGGCAACAAAAGAAGCCGCCAGGAAAGGAAAGAAGGCGGCCAAAGAUGCGUGUCCCAUGACAUCCGCUGUUGUCACGAUUGCAACCAACCAAUCAUCAAUAUUGCAAUCGAGGGAGAAAGGGACAAGGCAUACGCAAAACAAUUGCAAGACCAACAACAACGAGAAUAUAUGCGAUUGCAAAUGGAUCUUCGGAAUGAGCACUUCAAACUCUAAGAGAGGGAAGAUCGUAUCAAAGAGAGAGAAGAAAAGAUUAUGGAGGUAAAUCCAAGUACUAUGUCACCGGGGCCUAGAAAAGAUUAUUGGCGGUUAAGACAAAAAGAAAUAGCGGAAAGGCAAGAAAAUACAACUAGUGGAUAUCCCCACACAUCCUUCCCCGGCGGAUAUCCUCAAACACCUUUCCCCAGUGGAUUUCCUCAAACACCUUUCCCCGGUGGAUAUCCACAACCACCUUUCCCCGGUGGAUUUCCUCAAACACCUUUCCCCGGUGGAUAUCCACAACCACCUUUCCCCGGUUAUUACUUUCCUCAACCACCUUCGACCGGCGACUCGACCAACCCGACCAAUCUCAAUGACCCCUCAAACACCGAUUUCUUUUGUAAUGAGGAUGUCGAUAAUUAGACUUAGAAAUUUAAAUUAUUGUAUUUUUCUUUUCUUUUUUUCCUAGGCUUGCCUUGUCAAUUUAAGUCAUGUAAUAAAUAAAAUUAAUUUUAAUUUCAAUAUGUCAUUUUCUUUAUUUAAUCAUAAUUUUAUUAAUAUAUAAAAUCAUUAUUCACAUUUAAAAUACCUAAUAUAAAAUUCAAUAAACAGUCACUGCCACGGGGCAACCCAGAAACAAAAAUCGUGAGUGGAAACUGCAACCCAAAAUCACUGCCACGUGACGACCUAGGUCUCGCCCAUGACCCAGGCCUUCCCAACAAAGACCUGGGGGGUGGACUUGCUCUUAGGAGGUGUUGGAUUAUUUAGUUUAUUUUUGACAUUAUGAAUACAAUUUUAUAACAAGGGAGCCCUUCUACUGAGGACCCUUAUCCGUUUUUUUCGAUCACAUCUUGGCAUCUCAUCAGUUUUGACACGACCCACCCCGAAUUUCACCCUGAAACCUGGAGUAAGUCGUGCGGGGACCACCUCCAAGGAAAAUUUACUGAAAAGAUUAAAAAAAAAUCUCCCUUGCAGAUGGACAACCCUAACUCGAAAAUUCCAAAUUACACUCUUAAUUCAACACUUCCAAACAUCACAUAAUUAUCCUUCAGAAAUUCUACACAUAAUAUAUAAUAAUCCCAAAGUAUUCAGAGCUACUAAACACUAGCGGAAGCAAGAAAACACGAGUAGGUUGAACAGGUAACCUACUGACGAAAACUGGCAGAAAUGCGGGUGACUAUGCCUCGCCUCCUACUAGAUCUAACCCGAACUCUGCAGACUGGGCAAUUUAAAACGAAGGGCCCAGGGGAAAACAUUUAAUAACGUUAGAGUGAGUGGACAAAAAUAAAAUAAUAAAUAAAAUAUUUAUGUUUCCCCAAAUUAAUAUCUAAGGAAAAAUCGAAUGCAUGCCGCAAGCGAUAAAACUUUUAUCUCAUAAAAUAUCGAGCCUCUCAGACUCUAUAAUAUAUGUAUGUAUUUACACUCGUCCAUACUCCCUAUAUAAAUUCAUGGGUCUAUAUAGGGCUACUACGCUCACGUCCAACGCUCACGUCACGCCUUAAUGCGGUGCUACACUACGCCAUCAAGGUGGACAGACGAGUGUAUAAAUAUGUGUCCAUACCCCUUAUAUGAAUUAAACACUCAAAUAGGGCUACUACGCUUACGUCCAACGCUCACGUCACACCAUAAUGCGGCUAUAUGCUACGCCAUUAAGGUGGACAGACACAUAUGGCUAGCUAGCAUUUUCUAUACAUACUCUCUCAUAAAUACAUAUUUAUAUUCACCGAAAAUCCCAUUUUCGAUAACUCUCUAAGAGAAAUAAAAGCGUCAAAAUUAAUUGACGUCAAAACUCCAACAAAAGGAAAUGUUCAAUCAUGAACCAUAGCAUGCAUAUUAUUUCAAAUAAAAGUCCACUCACAAAUUAGGCCUAAGCCUGGUGUCGAUCUGGGGCCUCGUCUGCUCGAGCCUCCUCACGUCCUGUUCCAAAUAUAAUAUUAAUUUCCCAACCAAUAAUCCAAUAUUUAAUCAAAAUAGGCAAAAUUACCCGAGAGCCAUAAAUACGCUCAUCAUUGCCUAACUUCGAUAUUCUUAAAUCGGAACGAUCCGAACUUAAAUAUCAUACUCAACAGUCGUAAAUACAACCUCCCCAAAAUACAACUUAAAUCCUACGGCCGGAUUCUAUAUUAAUUAACCGCCAAAAAUACCAAACUUCGGAAAUUCACAAACCUAUCCAAAUCUCAUCCAAAAAUUCCAUAAAUCACAUCAAUAUACUCCUCUUAAUAUUCCACACUUAAAACCCUAAAAAUCUCUUAACCGGCGGCGGCCGGAGGCCAAUUCUGGCGACCUCUAAAACCUAUGAAAUUUUGACAGAAUAAUCCUCUCAUCAUGCUCUACAACUUUCCUAACUAGCACAAACACCAAUUCCAAGCCUAACUAGGGCAAUCGACUAAAAACAUCAAAAACACCAUAAAACUUCCACCUCAAAUUUCUCCUUACCUAGCUCAAGAGGGAGUGAGUCCUUUUAGGGCAAGACUGCUGGAUUGGAGGGCUACAAAACCGUACCAAGCUUGCCCGGAUUGAUGGCCGGAGGAGGAAGUUCCGGCGAAAUGCUUCCUGGCGUCUCCGGCGGGAUUUCUCCUCUUCCGGCGGGUUAGAGACUCGGGGGCUAGGCCGGGGAGGGAGAGGAGGAGAUGGGGGUCCGAACUGGGGUGGAGCGGCGGCCGGUGGCUGGCCGGACGGCGGCAGCUGGCGGCUGGAAGCUUCCGGCGGAGAAGGGCUCGGGGAGCUCGGGGAAAAGAGGGAAGGGAGAAAGAGAGAAGAAGAAAGAAAUGGGUCUCCCCCCUAAACCGGUCCACACUCUCUUAAGCCCAACUCAAAAAAAUAAAACACCCCGAAAAAUAAUACCCGAAUAAAAAUUAUCUUUUACUAGCUAAAAUUUACCAUUUUUACCGUCGUCGAAAUUUUCUCUUACAACUAAUCCUCCACACAUAAUCGUCCCCGAAAACACCUCUAGGGACCAAUUAAACUAUUAACUCAAUGACGGAGACGGUAAAAUUCUUAUUAUAAUCACGUUAGUAAAUAAGGUAAAAAUAUAAGGGUCGGGACGUGACACGUUUAGUUUUUAGGUCUAUAUAUGUAGAUCAACUCUACAAAUUUUCAGCCAAAUCGGUGAUCGUUAAGGUAUCAAACUAGAUCAAAUUAAUGGACAAACCAAAUAUGUCAAACAUGAACGUUCAAGUUCAUAAUUGGUAAAUCACACUUAUGAAUGUCUUAACGAUUUUCAAUAUGGCUGAAAAUUUACAGAAAUGAUCUACUCAUAAAUACCUAUAAACUGAAUGGUCAAGAUGUGAAUAUAAUAUAGAAAAAUGGGAUAAGCCAAAAAGUCUUUAACUAGUCAUCAACUUAAAGGUCCUCAUUAAAGAGGUUUCAUUUAUAACAAAAUAUGUGCAGGAGAUACAAUAAAGUCUCACUAGCACGAAGGCUCAAGAGCAAAAGCGUCCACCACUCUUGUAAACGAUAUCUCAAUAACCAGUUAUAAUGCCACGAUCAUGAAUUCUAGCUUCUUAUCGAUUGUUAAAACCUGCCCACAAGGUUUUUAACGACGAAUUAUUUAAUUCUUUUAUUUGAUUUACAAUCUUCAAUCAACUUGCAUACUAGUAAAUCCAUUUUGUUUCUAAUAACUUUCAGCCGUUAGACGUUGUUACUGACUUAACAAUUUCAAACACCUAUUUGGUCGGAAUCAAACCGUUUUAAAUAUUUUUGAUACAUGAGGUGUCAAAAUUGAAAGAAAAUGUUAGAUUAUCGUUUGGACGGUCAGACACAUUAAAAAGGGGAAAUACUUGGGAUUUGGCUUGAGAAACCUUGCUUAGAUCUGCUUGGAUUUCAACUCGAUGCUGCCACGUCAUCUAAAACAAUCUAAGGGCCAGCAGUAAAACACUCCAGAUUACCAAUUUUAAGCCAGCCGCACCGAAUUCCUUCGCAUAUCCCAAAACGCAACCAUCCAACCAUUCCCGCACUGGAGAAGCUCGCCAAUCGGACAACCGUCGGAGCUCGGUGGAGGCCCGUGGACGGUUUGCGGAAACUAAAGAGACGGCGGCGCGAGGUUCUUCGAGACGUCGAUGAACUCCUCGUCGUCGGAUUUGGGGAUGGGUAUCAGCAAUGUUCCGCCAAUCUCAUCUUUUCCUCUUUGUUCCCACUGUAAAUCAUAUAAGUCCUAGAUAAUUGUUCAAGAUUGAAGCUUCGUUUCCGUCUGAAAAGCUUAUGAUUUGAAUUGAACUGGGGAAGUUAGUGGCCGGAUUGCAUCAUGCAAGGACUCGAUCAAGUUAGUUAUGCAUCAGUAAGUAAAUUGGUAUUAGAUUGGUCUUUCCCGUUCCUUCCUGACUGCACACAACUACUUUCAUCAUCACUCCUUUAUCAGGCAUGAAGGUGGAUUUCUGUCACAGAAGGAACGGAGGAUGAGAGAGGUUGAAAGAGUGAGAAAGGAUAAAGAAGGGAAGACUGAUCUGAUAUGGGUGGUCUCAGGUUCUUCUUUGAGAGUAUUUUACUGCUGGCCCUUAGAUUGGCUUUAGAUGACAUGGCAACUUGGAGUUGAAAUCCAAGCAGAUCUAAGCAAGGUUUCUCCAAGCAGAGAAGCCAAAUACUUGGCGGUUUAAAAAAAAAGGGUAAGUACUUCUUGUCUUCUUGAUCUUGAAAAGAAUAGGCACCCGAUUCCCCACCCGGCCCGACCCGCUUGUAUUAAAAACCCUAGCCUCUCAGUAAAAAACCCUCAAAGCUUCAUCUCACUCAUACGCACAGAGUAGUCUUCGUUGUUAUGGAAAAAGCCGCCGACGAAGUAACGAAGGCUGUCUCCGAUUUGACGAUGGACGGGGAAGGCGGCACUAAAAUAAGCAAAAAGUAGGGGUCUUCUUUCUUUGUUGUUUCCGUUUUUUCAUUCAAUCGAUUUAGGGUUUUAGCUGAGACUGAACUCGUGGUUUUUGGUUGCUUUGGAAUUUGUGUUUGCAGCGCACUCAAGAAGGAGUUGAAGAACCAGAAGAAGGAAGAGGAGCGGCGCCGCAAAGAGGAGGAGAAAGCUGCACAGGUAACCCCUGAUUUUCCCAAAUUAUCCCAACUCCGGUUCGGUAUAGAAAAAGAAAUUGAUUUGUUUUGUUAAGCACUAGUUUUCGUAAUGUGUGUUGGAUAAAAUGAUGUGAACAGUUUGAAUUAUGGUGUACUGAAUACAAUGCUAGGCAGAACAACACUUGAUUGUUUAUUGCAUUUACUCAUCGGAGAAUGUUUAGUUGUACUUUGUGCAAGUGAAUUAUGAUGUGUGAUGGGUUAUUGUCAAGUACGGAGUUCACUGUAUGUGGUUGUGUGACGAUGUGUUAAUGAACUAUUUGAAUUGUUUACCAGGCUGCUGCCAGCGGUUCGCAGCCAAAGGGGAAAAAUGCAGCUAAUGAAGAUGAAGAAAUGGACCCAAGGGUAUGCUGUUUCUGAUGGUAUUGAUUGUAAUUGGAUGUAACUUGGGCCUAAUAUCUUUUUUUUAUUCUUUCAUUGUUCAUCUUGCAGCUAUAUCAUGAAAACAGGCUCAAGUAUAUUGCUUCGAUAGAAAACGCAUACCCUCACAAAUUCAAUGUUACAAUGUCUGAUCAAACAUAUCUGGAAAAAUUUGGGGGCCUAGAGAAUGGGGAGCAUAAGGAGGAUAUCACUGUUUCAUUGGCAGGUAGGGAAAAAAUAGCAACUUUUGGGUAUCAUUUGUCACUUUCAUUCAGUUUGUUAAUCUGAUUUAUUUUCUUAUAUUAGGGCGAAUCAUGCGCAAAAGAUCGUCCAGCACAAAGCUUUUGUUUUAUGAUUUGCAUGCCACUCCUGGUGGUUGGAAGGUCCAAGUUAUGGCAGAUGCCAGGUAUUAGCUUCUUUUAUAUGGAAAUCACCCUGGGAAUACGAUUAUCACUCUGUAAUGGCUGUAUUUUAUACUGGAAAUUAGUAUGUUACAUUUAGUAGGUUCAUCACUAAAGGACUUGUGUGGUUUAAGCGAUAGUCUUUCUCUGUGCUUAAUUUCGUAACACUAAAAGUUGGUUUAAUUUGAUUUUUCACCCAAGUUGUUUAUUUGAAAUACAAUUCACUCGCUCUACACAUAACAGGACUAUCUCGUUUCACAAUUAAUUGUCCAACUAUCUCGUUUAUUUGAAAUACAAUUCACUUGCUCUACACAUAACAGGACUAUCUCGUUUCACAAUUAAUUGUCCAACUAUGCUGUGAAAAUAAUAUUUUGAUCUGUAGAGUGAAGUGGGAGUCUUGUGGUUCAGAGUUAGACACCUAAAUGUUUUAAAGUUUUGUUGGCUGCCACUCCAAUGGAUUGAACCGUGAUUGGAUGUGUCUAUUCUGUUCUUUGGCUUAAUCUUUUCUGUACAUCAGUUUUCCCGUCUUCAGAUUUUUUUUUCCCUUUCAAAAUCAAAAUUGCUAAAGGUUUGUUAAUUUUUUCAUGCAGGACAUCAGAGCUGGAUGAAUCUGAAUUUAUUAGGUUCCACUCCACUGUCAAGCGUGGUGAUCUUGUUGGUAUUAGUGGGUUUCCAGGUUUGUAAUAAUUGUACUGUCCAGUGUAUCAUUUUGGGUUUAAAUUAAGAAUUCUUAUGCAGUUUUCAUUGAGACCUGGACAGAAAGGAUUGAUUAGUACAUAUAUUUUUUUGCAUUUAUAGGGAAAACUAAGAGGGGAGAGCUUAGUAUAUUCCCAAGAUCAUUUACAGUGCUAUCACAUUGCUUGCAUAUGUUGCCAAGGUCGAAACCUGAGCGUGUUCCUGAUAAUGCCAAUGUGGAGGUGAGGGCUGUUUGUCUUAUGAUGAUUUAGGAAAAUGUCAAAGCUAGUUUUGAUUAUAGUGAAAAUUUAGGGUAAAUGACACCUCAUAAAAAAUAAUAAAGGUGAAAUGAGACUACUGACAUGAUGAGGUUAGAAUGAUAUAUGACACUGUACAAUUCUGCAGAGAACUGAUGGAUGGGUCCCAGGACGUCCCAGGAAUCCUGAAACAUACACUCUGUAUCAGGUAUUGAUUGUCGAAUCUUUAACCUUUUUUUUUUCAGCAGUAGUGUCAACAGUAAAAUAACAAUUUUGCAAGUUCAAAUUUUAUGCAGUCAUCACUUGUUAACUUGUCCUUCUUUCUUUCUAGGAAACUCGUUAUCGUCAACGUUACCUGGAUUUAAUAUUGACCAGCGAAGUUCGACAAAUAUUCAAGACCAGAUCCAAGAUCGUCAGGUACAUCAGGAAGUACUUUGACGAACUUGAUUUCCUGGAGGUAAGUUUCAUGUCAGCCUGCUUCUUGAGUUCCCUGUGUUCUUUUGGCAUCUUGAUAGUGCUUCACCUUGGGGUCGUCUUAUUUAAAUGUCAUGUUCUUAUAUUAUUCUUCACCCAGGUCGAGACUCCAAUGAUGAACAUGAUUGCUGGUGGCGCGGCUGCCCGUCCUUUUGUCACCUAUCAUAAUGAUCUGAACAUGAAGCUUUUCAUGCGUAUUGCACCCGAACUCUAUCUCAAGCAGUUAGUUGUUGGUGGACUGGACCGUGUAUAUGAGAUUGGGAAGCAAUUCAGAAAUGAGGGUAUUGAUUUGACACACAAUCCUGAGUUCACCACAUGUGAAUUUUACAUGGCCUAUGCUGAUUACAAUGACGUGAUGACGAUGACUGAGGAAAUGCUGAGUGGUAAGUUUUGAUUGAUCCAUCACUUGCUUGUGCUUCUCCGCAUGUCCUUGAAACCACUUGGUUAGUUCAAUUCUGAUAAAUUGAAUUUAAAACAGGGAUGGUCAAGGAAAUUACAGGAGGAUAUAAAGUUAUGUACCAUUCAAAUGGGCUUGAUAAGGAUCCUAUUGAAAUAGACUUCACUCCCCCUUUCCGAAGGAUCGACAUGGUCGAAGAACUAAACAGGAUUGCAAAUCUCAACAUAAACCCAAAGGAUCUUUCCAGUGAGGAAGUAAACAGUUAUCUCAAGGAGGCGUGCAAGAAGUUUGAGAUCCAAUGUUCCCCACCUGAAACAACCGCCCGUUUACUGGACAAGGUAAAUCAGGUUUUUUUUAUAUUUUAUUUUUUGUUAUAGAAAAUCAACCCUCCUGGUUCACUGGUUUUGGUAUUGAAAAUUGACUGAAGCAUCAAAAUUUAUGUUUAUUAUUGCAGCUUGUGGGACACUUUUUAGAGGAGACGUGUGUCAAUCCAGCAUUUAUAAUUAACCAUCCGGAGAUAAUGAGUCCGUUGGCUAAGUGGCACAGAUCGAAGCCUGGCCUUACUGAACGAUUUGAGUUGUUUAUCAAUAAACAUGAGGUAUGCCUCUCCAACUUAAAUACUCUACUGAACUAUUUCUCAUUUGCCACUUUUUUGUCCUCCUUCAUUACAUUCACAAAUUAUGUUACUGCUCAGGUUUGCAAUGCAUACACUGAAUUGAAUGAUCCUGUGGUACAACGCCAACGGUUUGCUGAUCAACUUAAGGUAGACUUUAACUGUUAAAAUAUGUUUUCUUAUAGGAAGUUGUUUGAUAAUCUCUUUCCUGAAGAUAUGUGAUGUGAGUUUCAGGAUCGAGCUUCAGGUGAUGAUGAAGCAAUGGCUUUGGACGAAACAUUUUGUACUGCUCUGGAGUAUGGGUUACCUCCUACUGGUGGCUGGGGCUUGGGUGUUGACCGCUUAUGCAUGUUACUGACAGACUCACAGAAUAUUAAGGAAGUGCUUCUAUUCCCGGCCAUGAAACCCCAAGAUGAUCAACCUCCAGCAGAACCAACAAUCGCAGGUGCUUAGCUGUUGGACUGUUAGGAGUAUUGGUUUUGCUGCAAUCAAUUCUCAUUUUAUGCGUUGGUAAGACUUGAAGCAGUUGUCGACAUGUUGAUGCAUCCUGGGCUUGUUUUUGUUACUACUGUUUCUCAAGUUAUUGCUAAAAUGCCUGAUGGGUAACUUGUUUUUUGAGUAACAUCUAAAAUGUACCCAUAUUAAUGCAGUAGCUCCCAGAGCGUUGAUUAUUUGUGAUUGACAAAGUAAUUCAUCAAUCGUUUGGAACCUUGGCAUUGCUCUCAAUUCUAAUGUUGUGAAUUUGGUCUUCCCAUUGUAGUCUUUCAAAUUGGCAGAUUGCAUGUUGUAGUAAAAGAAUCCAGGUUGAACCGUCUUUUCUUGUUUCUUGGACUCCUGAUAAUUUCACCAAAACAUACCAUGGGUAAAAUCUGGGAACAAAAGCUAGUAGAAUACAAGAAACCAAAACUGAUGAUGUGUGUUCCUCAAGUUAUAAUCGGAUUCAAUCGUUAAUGUUGUUGUCUGUUUGGUAGAGACCCUGAUGUUAUAAUACUGUUUUCUUCUCCGAGCAGCCUCUUUAGACUUGACUCUAGUCUUACAUGAAAAUGUCAAACUUAUUCUACUUCAUCCCAAAAGAUAUUAGGAUACAAAAUCUUAGCUUUCCCAGCAAACUGGGUGAUCACAGACACAAUGAGUUUAACAUUCUUCCCUCUUGAAAUCCAACGAUGAGUUCGGCCAGGCUGACUCAGAAAGAUCCGAAAUGCCCAGCAGUCUCAUUGAAAAGGUUUGUCUUUUGUCUUCCUAUAAAGGUUUGUUAUUUAUAUACGUAUAAGUUCAAUCAGAAUUCGUUUGGUUGUUGGAAUCCUACCCCUCCACAUAAAAACUGAGAUCCUAAUUCUACAAGGAAUAGCUUUAAACACUUGCAUAUACCCUGUAUUCCUUACUAAUUCUCAUUAGUUGUAACGUUUUUUUUUCUCCUUCAACAAUGGCUGUGUCUGUGCAAGACAGUGCUUUCGAGAAGCUUGCAUACCUUUCCCUGGUCUCCAGGAUCUGCACAGAGCUUGAAAACUAUAAUGGGGGUUUUGGAGACAAAGUCGUAACAGAGUUGAUAGCUGAGGUGGGGCGAAACUGUGAGGCGGUGGACGAGUUUCGUAAAGUGAUGAAGCAAAACGGUGUUGACAUGCCUGAAAAUGUUAUGUCCGUGUUGUUAACGAUUGUUCACUCUGUUCUUCAUCCUACAAAGGUUUCUCAGAAAAACAUAAUCCCGGACAUGGCGAUUAACAAUAGCAUGGGAAGGCAACGAGACGAUAAAAGAGGUAAAGGUGAGCUUAGGAGUAGGAGGAGGCAUAGAAAUUCACAACAGAAUAAAAACUUGCCGAUAUACAAGUUGAAGAAAGAGCUUAUUCAAGCUGUGCAUGAAAAUCAGGUUCUAGUUGUCAUUGGUGAGACUGGUUCGGGCAAGACAACUCAGGUAACACAGUAUCUUGCUGAAGCAGGUUACAGUACAAAGGGCAAGAUAGGAUGUACUCAACCCCGUAGAGUUGCGGUGACAUCUGUGGCCAUGAGGGUUGCUGAAGAAUUUGGUUGUGAUCGAUUAGGGGAGGAAGUGGGGUAUGCUAUUCGUUUCGAAGAUUGUACUGGACCGGAUACUGUGAUCAAGUAUAUGACUGAUGGGAUGCUUUUUAGGGAGUUUUUGGUUGAUAAUGAUCUUUCUCAGUACUCGGUGAUCAUGCUUGAUGAAGCUCAUGAAAGAACAAUCUUCACUGAUGUCCUCUUUGGAUUGCUGAAGCAACUUGUGAAGAGGCGUCCUGAUCUUCGCUUGAUUGUCACAUCUGCCACACUGGAUGCUGAGAAGUUCUCGGCUUAUUUCUUCGACUGUAAGAUAUUUACUAUUCCUGGUAGAACUUAUCCUGUAGAAGUGUUCUACUUGCAUCAGCCCGAAAGGGAUUAUUUGGAUUCAGCUCUAUUAACUGUUCUGCAGAUUCACUUGACAGAACCUGAGGGUGACAUACUUCUCUUCUUGACUGGUGAGGAGGAGAUUGAAUCUGCUUGUCAGUCUCUGAAUGAGAGAAUGAAAGAGUAUGGAAAAAGGGUUCCGGAAUUGAUCAUUCUACCGGCUUAUGGUGCCCAACCUAGUGAAGAGCAGGCAAAGAUAUUUAAUCCUACUCCUCCAGGGAAGAGGAAAGUGGUGGUGGCUACCAACAUUGCUGAAGCUUCUUUAACCAUUGAUGGGAUAUUUCAUGUCAUUGAUUCAGGAUAUGCAAAGCAAAAUGUGUAUAAUCCGAAGAAAGGGAUUGACAUGCUGACUGUAGCUCCAAUAUCACAAGCAUCAGCUAAGCAACGAGCAGGGCGUGCUGGGCGGACUGGACCAGGUAACUGUUACCGCCUUUACACUGAGGCUGCAUUUAAGAAUGAGAUGUCUCCUGCUACAGUUCCAGAAAUCCAGAGAACAAAUCUUGUAUAUACCACACUUAUGAUGAAAGCAAUGGGGAUAAAGGACGUUCUAUCUUUCGACUUCAUGGAUCCACCGCCUUCCCAAGCACUUACUUCUGCUUCAAAACAGCUGCAAAAUCUAGGAGCAUUGGAUGCAGAGGGGUCAGUGACAAAAUUGGGGAGUAGAAUGGCGGUGUUGCCUCUAGAUCCACCUUUGUGAAAAAUGCUGCUUGCCAGUGUGAACCUUGGAUGCAGUGACGAGAUUUUGACCAUUAUUGCAAUGGUUGAGGCAGGCAAUAUCUUCUACAGGCCUAAAGGAAAACAAGCUGAAGCUGAUCAGAAAAGGGCCAAGUUUUUACAGCCUGAGGGAGACCAUCUGACUUUACUUGCUGUUUAUCAGGCAUGGAAAGCUAAGAAUUUCUCUGUACCCUGGUGUUAUGAGAACUUUGUCCAGCAUCGGUCAAUGAGCAAGGCUAGGGAUGUCAGGAGACAGCUUCUUACUGUCAUGGACAAGCAUGAAUUAGAGGUUGUAAAUGCAGGGAAAGAUCGUACAAUGAUCAGAAAGGCGAUUGUAGCUGGAUUCUUCUUCCAAGUAGCUAAAAGGGAUCCACAUGAUGGUUAUAGAACCUUUGUUGAUAAUCAGCUAGUUUAUAUUCACCCAAGCAGUGUUCUUUUCCGGAGACAACCAGAUUGGGUCAUCUACAAUGAGCUGGUGAUGACCACAAAGGAGUACAUGCACGAGAUCAGUGUUAUAGAAUCUAAAUGGCUCAUGGAACUGGUGCCAGGAUUUUUUAAGGUAACAGUUCCUCCAAGGAUUAACAAGCGGAAGCGUCAAGAAAUUGAACUACUUAGUAGACAAUGUCCCUAAUAUGUGUAAAUCUGAAGUUCUAAAUACUCUUGUUGUCGAAGCAUGUAGAUAUUGUUGUCAAAAAUUUGUAUCCAGGUAUGAAUGCCGUAGCUAUGAUUUAACUAUUUCUGCUAAGUACAGACACUAUUUGUUCCAUGUUUAAUAUUUGAAUGUGAAACAUUUGUCAAUUCAAUCAUCUUUAGUGUCUUCUUUUCCUAUUUCUGGCGAUGCUGCCUUUUCUUUUGUUUUGCUAAUCCAAUUGUCAAAUGACUAUGAAUUUUCGUGGCGAAUCUUAUAGACGAAAAUGUUUGCAAUGACCCUUUUGAUGCUUGGGGAGAGAAUUCUGAUGGUCUUGCAUAAAGCUUCCAGAUAGUUUAAGGCAGAUGGUUAGUCAGCAGUAAUUUUCGAGCAGAAUCUCUGGUGAGCAUUAUGCAGAUAUUUUGCAGUUAAGAUGUGAAACAACAAUUUUUUUUUUCUCCACGAGUAUUGUUCAUUUGUUAGUUAAGUUUUGAAAUGUAUGUUCUUCUCUUGUCAUAAAAGGUAGAAUGUAUCCCCAGGCACAUGCAUUGUCAACCUUCAAGAGGCAUAUAAGUAUACGAGUUUCAUAUAUUUGCACUCAGCCACUCACUGUCGUGCAUGUCAAUCAUCAUCCUUUCCAUUAUUUUUAUAGACAAAGAUGAUCAAAUUUGUAAUAUUUAAGUUUCAUAAUUAUGCAGCAUAAACUGAAGUUGAGGAUAUACUAGAAAAUCUAUAACAGAAAACACAAGUCAUAUUAGAGUAGUUCAUUGUUAGCUCUUUCUUUGUACGUGUCUUGAUUGCUGCUGAGUACAUUUACUUUACCUACUGAAAGGAGAUCAAGAAGUUUGCAUGAAACUGUAAGUCAUACUUAUAACUUUUUCAUGUUUCUACAAACUUUUUUCUUGUUUCCAUACCGUUUUGAGAAAGUUUCUCUUGCUAGGUUGCCACUCAUUAGGUAGCUAGAACAAUAUCUAAAUGGCAACCUGAAUCAUGUUUGACAUAGAGAAUGGCAAAAUUACACCCUUUUGUUUUGUGCUUCUUCUUUCAUGCAAAGAGAAUGUACAACUGCAGUAUACUUUCAGGUUUCGGCUUUGUUCUGCAUAAGAAACCAUUUUGUUAACAGGAUUCAUAUACAAGGUUCUUAGUUUUGAAAUUCACACUCGAUCAAGUACUAAUACCACCUGACUACUGUUAGAUUUAUCUUAUCAGUCUUGUUGGCCGGAAGUAUAUUUUGCCAUCCAGAAAAGGCAACCAAUAAAUCCAGUUUUUUUUUUUUUUUUUUUUCUGGAAUUAGAGAGAAAGAGAGAGAUGGCAGGGAUUGGCAGCUGAGAAAAUCAGUGAAGCAUAUCCAUUGAAAGGUGGAUUGGCCCCAAUAGCUAUGCUAAGGACUCUACUUACCAGGUUUGUCUUACUUCACCCUAAAUGAAUUCAACUUAGUUCGACUCUGAUAUCAAUUAAUCAUUUUAAUUAUUAAAAGCAUAUGAUGGAUAUAAGCAGUUAGUAGCUAACCCCUUAAAAUUACAUGUUUUGGUCAAGAGGAUUCGUCUUUGGAAUUGCAUAAAAACUUACUGAAAAGGUCCAUGAACUUUGAUCAUUUUAUACACAGUUAGCUGUAUGUUCAGUUUUGAUCUUGGGCACUGGACUUGGGAGUCAUCAGCAGGUGGUUUUCAUUCUCUGAAAGUGCAAGCUUUUAGGCAUUUGUAGAUGUUCAAUGUGCUGACUGAUGAAGUGGCAAGGGCUUAUGGAGCUCAAUGUGCUGAGGACAUGAAGUGUUUCCUGCACGCUAGGGCACACAAACUUGUCUAUGGAGGACUAAUGGUACUUAUAUUUCCAGUUGUCCACCCCCAUGGUACCCUUGUUUCUCAUACUGUUGCUUAUUUGACCAUACAUCUUUAGAAGCUUGUCUACUGGACAUGGUUACAAUGGUAAGCAAUGAUCAAUAGCUCCAAGAGUUUAACAUCCUACAAUUAUAUGCUAGUUCAUUCUGAUCCUAGAAUCAUUUAAGAGAAUAUGUUUUCUAGAGAAUAUUCUUGUUUUCUUAGACCUAAACUAAUAAUUUGGGUGAACUAUGAAAAAUAAUAAUAAUAAUAAUAAUUUGUUUACUCUGUUGGAUCACAGGCAAAUUUGCUUAAAGCAACCUUUGUGUAAAUCAUAAUGGAAGUAUCUUCUUCUUGGAUGGAUAUAAAUUAAGUGCAUAUGUACUUACAUAGCCAAGUAAAGCUGCAACGUAGGAAAACUGUGUAAAAAAAGUUUGGAGAAUUUUCUCUUACAUAAUUGAUAUGUUGCUUGAUGUAAAAACAAGAUAUCUUUGUUUUGUUGCUUUCUGCAUGGAGUAGGGAGUAGUUAGCGAAGAGAAUAAACUAGAUUCAUUUAGCUUACAGAGACAUUGAAAACCUUACCUCGUGUAUGCUAGAUUACACCGUCUCAAAUGUCAAUUCGCAUCUUGAGAGUCACCUUGGAGGGUCUCAUCAAAGAGCAUUUUGGAGAAAAGAUCGGUCUUAGAUGAACUUUUCCACUUGUAUUGUAAGAAACUUGAGGAAGGACUUGGAGGCAGAUCAUUUUGUGGCUUCAUGGCAGAUUAUUUUUGCUCAUAUUUCUUUGGGAUUCCAUUGAAAUCUAUAGAAUAAUUGACUGACUAAUACAAAGCUUGGGUCGUCUAUAUAUAGGAAACAAAUAGAGAAAACAUAGAAAAGGGAAAGGAUUCUUGACAAUUAUAGGGAACAAAUCCUAAACCACUGAGCUUUCAGUAGAAAAUAAGACUUCAAUAUGUUUGGUGUUUGGUAUGCUUCGAUGUAUUAUUCUUUUCCAAAUAGAAGGUUUAUAUAAAGAUGCAAUUACAUAUAAUGCUAAAAUGAAAAUAUCUCCUACAUCUAUACAAAAAAAUAAAAUAAAGAUACAUAGAUGAAAUUCCAGUUUGAUAAAGAUACAAAAAUGCAAUGGAAUCAUUACCAGUUUGAUAAUGACCUUCAAUUAAACAAUUCUACAACAUAUGAGAGCAAAAACUAUCAAAGGGUAGGUGUGGCAUUACCAGUCCCACCCAAUGCCUCAACUAAUCUUCUCUUUGCAGACUUUGUUCUGAAACACCAGACCUCGAAAGCCUCGCUCAAGUCCGGAUAACGGACCUGCUCGGCUCUCAUCCAGUCCGCUAGAAUGUCGGCUUGAUCAUUUGACGGUAACGCCAGUACUAAGGUGACAAUGGCUCCUUCAAUGGUCUGGCACAAGUCUUCGUUCAUCUUGUAUGGAAAACUAGUGUCCUCACUGCUCUUUGCAUCCAAGAGCGGCUUCAUCUUCCUAAUAUAAGGGAGCCAUGACUUCAGUAAUGUCAAGCGAAUUGGAGCCGGAAGAAUCACGCUACCAUAGCCAACUGAUUCCAAGACUUUAGCAGUGACUUCUAUGAGCUUAAUCUUCAAGCCCCACAUAAACGAAUCAAGUUUCUUGUCCUCCAUCACUCCUAAAACAUUAUUGGAGCUUUCGGCCCAGUUGGAAACAAAAUCUUUCAUCAAAUCCAUCUUGCCAAGUAUGCUACACAUCCACUCGAGAUCAGAUAAACUAUGCAUUAUUUUCUCAUCUGCUGUCUCAGAUGCAAGGUCUGGCUCCAAAAGCAAGGACGACAAUUCUUUUUCAAAUGUUGAACAAAUAUGCGACAGACCCAAUCUUGCCACAGAUCUGACGUCAUCGUCAGCUUUGACCAAUGGUGUAUCCUCAUCUUCUCCUAACAUGUACUCGACUUGCUCUUGAGCAGAAGUUUUAAGCUCAUUGCCGAAUGGAGGACAUGGGCCAACAAUGGAUGUCGCAAUACGAAUUGCUGAGAUGAAAACAGUUUUGGUGGCAGCUAAAUCAACAGGUUGGAUCCUAGCUAUUAUGGGCAUAGCUACCGGACCCAACUUUGAUACUGCUCUUAAUAUGUGUUCUUCUUCUUUGUUCUCCCAAGGCACAGCCUCCAAGUACUGGAUGCAGCAGUACACAAUCUCGUCGCACUUGAAGUUCACUGCUGACUGAAGAAUACCAACAGCCGACUUAACAGAAUCCAAUGCGUCUACAAUUAACUCUGUUGGAAGAUAGAGCAGCCUCAACAGGUUGACGUGGUGAUCAAAGUUGACCUCAGAGCAAUGAACAUAGAUGGAAUUACUAGGGUUUGGAUUAGACAACCGUUUAGCAAAGUACUUGCUCCUUUUUAUGAGAACAGAUGAGUGGGAGUAAAACUGUUGGUAUCGUCCUUCUCUAUCCUUCAAGCAGAUGACUACGUCACUGGUAUUCUGAUCACCAAGUAUGCAAGCCUUGCUUUUUAAAGCUUUGUCCAUGUGCGGCAACAAGGUUCAUGCUUUAAGCUAUUGAAAGAGCCCACUUUUGUCAACUGAAAAUUAGAUUUGACAUAAACAGUCGGUCAAUCCACAUAAAUUCGAAAAGAAAUACAAACAAAUUAUCCAUUCAAAGCUCAGGUAUGUUUGCAUGAGAAUCUAAUCUCAAAACAACAUGAAAUAUGUUAAUAAGGAAAAUUUUCAACACUGUUUUGCAGCAACAAUAGCUGAUCCAUGUAGUUCCAUACAUCUACACUAGUAUGAAAUUAGAAGUCAUAGAACCGACCAUAAUCUUCUUCUUUAAUAAUGUAGAAUAUUAGAAAUCAUCUGCAAAAACCUUAGAAAUCAUAUUACAGAAUACACAUUACAAACUAUAUCUAUACUUUUCAGGACUUAUUAAUUAAGCAAUGAUAGCAUAAAUAAAGAAACCAAGUUCUGCUACUGUGCUUGGAAACCAUACUGUAUACUUAUAUAAUGAAAUGCAGAGAAGCAUUACCAAAUCACAAUCAAUACUAACCAAAAAAUCAACAGCUCUUCAAACCAGAUUUAAAACUUAUCAUACUACCAGAACAAAAAACGAAGCAUAGUGCUAGCCAACACAAAUUUCAUAACAAUAAACAAUUUGGCCUCCCAACAUGAAAUUAUUGAACAUGGUAAUUAAAAACUAACACAAUACAAGACUAAUAUCACAACUAAAUAGAGCAUCAAAUAACAAUUGUCCGAAGAACCAUUGCUCUGAUACCAUUUGUCAAAUCCCAACCCCAAAUAACAAAACCGAAGCACUGUAAACUGCUCAAAUUCCAAUUGAAAAAAAAAAUGAAAGUAUCAAUUACAAUUUCUGCCAAGAAUUAAAAAAAAUAAAUAAACACAACUCCACCAAGGUAUCCGACCCACAC